rnacentral:rRNA from 1 species
UACGGAGGGUGCAAGCGUUAUCCGGAUUCACUGGGUUUAAAGGGUGCGUAGGUGGGAAUGUAAGUCAGUGGUGAAAUCUCUGAGCUUAACUCAGAAACUGCCAUUGAUACUAUGUUUCUUGAAUUUUCUGGAGGUCAGCGGAAUAUGUCAUGUAGCGGUGAAAUGCUUAGAUAUGACAUAGAACACCAAUUGCGAAGGCAGCUGGCUACAGGGAUAUUGACACUGAGGCACGAAAAGCGUGGGGGAUCAAACAGG